AGGUCGAAGAUGCUGUUGUCAGCACGGAUCCCAAAGAAGACCCGUUUCUGGUCCUGUAUCCUCUGAAGUCCUCCAGCCCAGGAGACAGCCUCCAAGCCUGACCCUCCGUGCUCCCGUGACCGGCCCCACGCCCCGUGCCCCUCGCUGGGCACCAGCCACCUUGGUGCGGAAGCCCUUUCUCCUGAGCUCCUCCAGGAACUGCUCUUGCCGGGGAUCUCCCUGGGUGCGAUGAUGGGCCACGAGGACAUAUUCCCACUGCUCAGAGGCCUCGGCCUGCAGGGAGGAGGCACCGGGCCAGUGAGAACAGCAGAGUCCCAAGGAGUUGGCUGUAGGCGGGUGACAGGCCAGAGGGCCAGGACCUCCUGCAAACAACCGACAAGACUGUGGAGACGGAAGCACGUGAGGGUUCCUGCAAAUGCAAAAGGGAAGAUGCAGCCCACAGAGGCCAGCGGGAUUGUACGGAAGAGGAGCAUAGUGAGCAGCCGACAGGGGAGGCGACGGGAACGCCAGAACAGCCAGGGAAACGCAGGUCAGAGGACCAGGAGACGCCGAUGCGCGGGAGAAGCCACAGGCACCCCUGCACACUCCCGGUGCUGUGCGUAUCAGAGCACGGGUUUGGAAACCUGUUGGACUGUGUUUAAAAUCGAACGCUCCCAGCUCCUGGCCCAGCCCGUCCACCCCUGGAGGUGCAGACAAGGGCACUCACAGCGGCCCCGUUUCACAUGAGGUCCCGGGCUGGGCAGACGGAUGGACACCAUGCCAUCCUCACACAGGGAGGGUCCUGCAGCAGGCGAGGUGAGUGCCUGCAGGGCACAGUGCACGGGGCUCCCGCGGGGUGACUGCCACAGGCACAUCCCAGCAGACACAGGGACACGAGAGUCUGGGGCCAGAACCUUCCGGAGGAGGGGAAUUUGCAGGGCCUCAGAGCGUCCGCCUGAUAUUUGUUAAUUACUGAGGCAGUCCCCAUGCCAUCUCUGGCUGCAUCACACCCGGUCCCUGCACCUGAGUCCUUCCCCUCUCCCUGCUGCAUCCUCGCCAAGCUCAAGACCUGCCUCCUCCGGAAAGUCUCACUUGACUGCUUGAGCCUGUUGGCCCUUGAGGGCUGCCAGGUAAAACAGAGGCCACCCAGUCACACUUCAUUUCCAGAUAAACAACAGAAGGAUGUAGUAUAGAUAGGGUAGGGUAGGGUAGGAUAGGAUAGGAUAGAUGCCCCAGUGAUUGCAUGGUGCACGCCUACACUAAAAAUAUUGUUUAUCUGACAUUCAG